rnacentral:rRNA from 1 species
CUACGGGGUGCAGCAGUGGGGAAUAUUGGACAAUGGGGGGGACCCUGAUGCAGCGACGCCGCGUGGAGGAUGACGCAUUUCGGUGUGUAAACUCCUUUUAUAUGUCAAGAAAAUGACGGUAGCAUAUGAAUAAGCACCGGCUAACUCCGUGCCAGCAGCCGCGGUAAUACGGAGGGUGCAAGCGUUACUCGGAAUCACUGGGCGUAAGGACGCGUAGGCGGGUUGGAAAGUCAGGUGUGAAAUCCUACAGCUUAACUGUAGAACUGCACUUGAAACUUCUAAUCUAGAGUAUGGGAGGGGGAGAUGGAAUUAGUGGUGUAGGGGUAAAAUCCGUAGAUAUCACUAGGAAUACCUAAAGCGAAGGCGAUCUCCUGGAACAUUACUGACGCUAAGGCGUGAAAGCGUGGGGAGCAAACAGGAUUAGAUACCCGCGUAGUC